rnacentral:tRNA from 1 species
GCUAGCGUAGCUUAAUAUAAAGCAUGCACUGAAGAUGCUAAGAUGAGUCCUAAGAAACUCCGCGUGCA